AAUCAUUGAACUGAACUCCUGAGAUCACGCACUACACACUGGCAUUUUGUUUGAUUGAAAUCCGUUUAGUCGAAAUUUAAUUA